rnacentral:lncRNA from 1 species
UGGUGGGUUGAACCUGGUUUUGUGGCAUGCCAAACCUCGCACUUUAAUGGCAAUGUUAAAUAUAACAUAGAAAUGACAACAUAAUAUUAUAGGACUACAAUACAAAUAAAUAGGAAAACGUAUUAGACAAAGAAACACAUGAUUAAUGAAUAACAAAAAGCAUCAGGUUUAAAAUUUAAUACGCCAAAAAACGCGCCUCGUCCACACAAGACUCACCAGUGACGCCCAGAUAUAAAAGAUCGAAAGCGAAAAAAAUUACAAAGUUGUACAGCACUGAAGAUCAAAAGUUGAAAAAGGUUGUGUCAAAUACGGCUAAGUUUGUAUGCUUGGGAUAAGAACAUACUAAUUAUUUAGAACAAUUAAUGCUAUUGCAAACAGUAAAUUUUAUCAAAUGAAUAUAACAGAUAUACAUAAUGAAACUGAAGUAUUAACUCAUUACAUAAAACAAACACGAAUACAUAAUGAAUGACCAACACAGAAUAGACACACCCGACUCAGUCCAGGCCUCAACGCAGUAAAUUAUGAAAAUGACGUCACAUACGACGGUGAAAAGGCAUUAAAAAUUACGUCACAUACGAUGGUGAAAAGGCAUUAAAAAUUU